rnacentral:rRNA from 1 species
AGUGAACGCUGGCGGCAGGCCUAACACAUGCAAGUCGAGCGGCAGCGGGUCCUUCGGGAUGCCGGCGAGCGGCGGACGGGUGAGGAAUGCAUCGGAAUCUGCCCUGUCGUGGGGGAUAACCUAGGGAAACUUAGGCUAAUACCGCAUACGACCCACUGGUGAAAGCGGGGGAUCGCAAGACCUCGCGCGAUAGGAUGAGCCGAUGUCCGAUUAGCUAGUUGGCGGGGUAAAGGCCCACCAAGGCGACGAUCGGUAGCUGGUCUGAGAGGAUGAUCAGCCACACUGGGACUGAGACACGGCCCAGACUCCUACGGGAGGCAGCAGUGGGGAAUAUUGGACAAUGGGCGCAAGCCUGAUCCAGCCAUGCCGCGUGGGUGAAGAAGGCCUUCGGGUUGUAAAGCCCUUUUGUCCGGGAAGAAAUCGUCUGGGCUAAUACCCCGGGCGGAUGACGGUACCGGAAGAAUAAGCACCGGCUAACUUCGUG